GCCAAUGUAAAUAAACCCACCAUAGACAGUCGACUGGUGGAGGUCGCUAGCCUAAUCCUCAAACUCAUCGAAGUUCUGGAACUCCUGAAGAUCUGCCUCGAUGCCUUCUUCUUCUUUACCUAAGCACAGGUUGCACCAAAGGCAACCUUGUGUUUUGUGAAAGCAAGGGUGAGUACACAUCAACGUACUCAACAAAUGUUCCGUUUGGCUGAGGUGGACUAGCUUUAUGUGGAGUUAGGCUUAAAGCAGUUGCUUUUAGUUCGUCAGGUAUUUAUUAUUAAUAGAAGCCAAGUUUUAGCAAUAACCAGCCAUAAACCAUUUCCUCUUCGAGGAACAUCAUUAUCAUCAUUGAAGCCAAAACCAUCAAUAAAACCACUGUAUCUCAGAUCAUAUGUAUCUCUAAUCAAAAGAGCUCCCAAGGCCGCUCAUAACUGUGAGCACGGUUGAUAUAUCAGUUUCAUUCCUCUGCAGAGGUUGCACAUUUUACCCAUGAGUCGUGAUUCCCUUUCUGCCUGAGGAGCGCUACUCCCCAUUGAUCACUACCUAGGUGAUCUGGCACAGUAUCACUAUGUAGCCUUUACAAAGAACCCCGAAGGUAUAGCUGCCCGUUAGGUUUCCUAAAUGCACCACACUCCUCCCCAAGGGGCAAACCACCCUCGACAGAGUGAGCCGCGUACACCGAGCCCCAUUGACAGUACGACAGCGAAGCGAACAAUACCUCAGUUCCUCUAAUUAAUUGGCUAAAGACGUCCCAUUCCACCCUCAUGGCUGCACUAUUUUCCCGGGUGGUCAUCCAGCGAAUAGUCCUUAUGGAGUGGUACUCGGGAAACAGCCCGAGUCCCCUAAAGUAACACAAACUCAUCAUCAUAGUCAAUAUAUCAUCAGCGUAUCAUAAAUAUUCUCAUCAUGUUCAUUGAUUAAAGUAGAGCGCUAGCAUAAAGCUAACCACAAUAACCUAAAAGGUAAUCAAGGACAAGGUAAAUAGAAAGCUAGUCAAUCCUUAGGUUUUAAUUAUGUAAUACGGGGAAAUGAAUUAUGAGGUGAAUAGGACAUAAGUGGGUCAGAGGACACUUGCCUUCACCAAACAGAUCCAGGGCCGUCUCUUAGUUUUUUAGGUCUUGGUGCAAAACAUAAAAAUAGGUCCAAAGAUCUAUAGUAUAUAGAGAUAAGAACAAUAUAAAAUGUAUCGUUUCAUAUUUGAUCUAUUCUCAUAUUCUUGUCCUCUCAUAUUGUCAAUUUUAAAGUCGAUAUUUUAUAAAUAAUAAACAAUCUUCAUCUUUUUAUACCAUUUAUAUAUUUUCAGAAAAUUCAAAAAUUUGGAGCCUAAAAAAUUGGAGGCCCUGUGCCAGCGCUCCAACUGCGCUGGGCACUCGACGGCGCUGUCCAUACCUGUACACCAGGAGAUAGCAGAAUUGAUGGGUCGGGAUUAUACCUGGCAACCUUCGCUCGGAUUCGCCAGACAUCAGGUCUUCGAGCACAAUGAGAGGCGGUCUCAAUCCUAGAGCAUGUUCCAAAACUUCAACUUUAUAGAUGAGAGAUGCGCCUCCACGGCUAUUACAAUAAAUUCUUGUCGCUAUAAGUCCCAACCGUGCUUUAAAAUAUUGGAGACUUUCUCUCUAUCUUAUUAUUUGUCAUGUCUGGCAAUAUUUAAUUUUGUUCUAAAUGACCUCGAUAAUUCUUAAGGUCUAGUUUGGGUACUAUAGUAUUAAACUCAAUCCACUUGUAUUGAGAUGAAUUGGAGUGUAACUUAAACUAAUUUACACCCCAAUCCACAUCAAAACACGUGGAUUGUGGUCAAUAAUAGAGUACCCAAACAAAGUCUAAACAACAUGUAAAUACUCUUCCUUGCGGGUUUUACUACGAAGCGUUUAGGAGUCUUUCACUUGAAGUAGAGGCUCAAUAUAGGUUUAACUAAUCCUUCCGUUCGUUUCAUCGAUUUGUUAUGUUCUUACUUCAAUCGAAGUUGUUUGCAACAGCGUGGGCAUGCUAGCUCUCAUUGAAACGUGACCACAAAUCAACAUUAACAUUAUGGAAUGGGAUUACAGAUAUACACUAGCAUAAUGAAUAAGUUCCAAGAUUGUGAGGCGUCGGUCUAAUAAUAAUUACAUCGGUUGGUUUUGUGAUGAUCCAAAGAAGAAAGAAAAUACAAACCAGCGGAUUAUAUAUUCGGUGGAGACUUGAGAGUACGUGAGAAAGAGAGAGGUUACGAAGAGUGAUUAUAUCUCUACUACUAAUUAUGUAUGUAGUGUAGGCGUCCACAUGUGGAUUGGUGCACGGUUCUGCCGAUCUGUUCGACGCACGCACCCACAUGGAAACAGGCAGCAGACAUCCUUCCCCGCCGCCCCGGAUGUCGCCCCUCGCGGAUCUCGCGCCAGCCCCCGCCUGCCCUUCCACUCAUCCCCCGCCGCUCCGCCGCGGAUCUCGCCCCCCCGCGGAUCUCGCGCUCGCCACAACAGCUAAUCUCGACCAUGCCCCACAAUCUCAGCCAGCCCUGCUGUACCCCCGCCUGCCUGUGCACCCUCCCACGCGCGAUGGAAGCAGUCCGACAUGCCCCUCCCACCACAACCGCGCAGCACCGUCCUGGGCACGGCGCCCCGCACGGGGCGCUCCUCGGCCCGCAUCUGCUUGCGGAGAUUGGCCUCGACGAAGAGGGGCUCGGCGGAGGCCGCGGAGGGGAGCGGCGAGAAGGAGAUGAGAAGCGCGUGGGAGGAGGAGAAGAAGAUCGACGCGGAGAUGAGGAGCAGGAGAAGCAGCAGGCGAAGACGAGCACCACGAGCUCGCUCCCCUCCAGCAACGAGCGCUCCUCCAGCUCCGCUUGCAACAACCUCACGAAAGGAGGUAGGUGCCGCGCCCAACCCGUUGCUGGUUAAUCAGCUGAAGUUGCUGCUGCCCUGCCCCGCAUGGCACCCGAGGGGCGGAGAGCGACGAGGAGAUACGGCGGGUGCCGGAGAUGGGCGGCGCGUCGGCAUCGGCCUCGUCGGGCGCCGGCGCGGACGAGCUUCCCAAGGGGGAGGACGACAAGCAGGGGCAGGUGGCCGCGCCCAACCCGUUGCUGGUUAAUCAAACUGUUGCUUGCUUUGCACCUACUUUGAUUUAUCAGAAAAAAUUUGAAUGUUUAUUACAUUCCCAUUGGACAUUUGUUACUGUUUGGUUGCGACUUUGCUUAGCAAUUUUCCUCAGGAAUCUUGUGUUUCCUAUGCGUUAUGGUCCUAGACUUAUGACUAUUCUAAUUUAUUUAGGCUGAUUGGAAGAAGUGCAUUUCUCAAAUUUAUUCUAGAAACUGGGUCUGAGUGAGUUCUAUAAUUUGCAUUCACGCCAAUCAAAUUUUAGCAUGGUAUCGGCGAGAUAUUUUGUAUUGUUAGGGCACAAUGAUCUGUUAGGUGUCUUUCUAGGAUUAAUGAUGGUUCUCUUCAUCUCGGGUGAUGGUCUUGGAGUAUUUUGAUCAGUACAGCGAGCUCGCAUUGCUCCUAUCUCAAUUUAUAUGAUUUAGAUGGGUGAAACGACAUUUGGUUUAGUAAUUUGAAUUCAAGCCUUCAUAUCAUUGUUGUGUCUUAUGCUCCCAUUUCAAGUCACAUUGUUGCUUACUUUGCACUUACAUUGAUUUAUUGGGUCAAAGUUGAAUGUUUAUUGCAUUCUCAUUGGACAUUUGAAGGUCUAGCGAUUUUUCUAAGGAAUCUCGAGUUUUACCAUGCUUUAUGGUCCCAGACUUCUUGCUAUUCACAUUUAUUUUAGGCUGAUUGGAACAGGCACAUUUCUCAUUUGAUGGUUCUUUCAAUUCAGCUAAAUUUCUCGUUCCACAUUAGCACAUUGCUUAUUUGAUGAUUCUUUCAGUUCAGUUCACUUUCUUGAUCCGCGUCCACAUUUUCACUAUUUAUUGUUGUACAAUUAGUUCUUACAUUGUAUUUGAUUUGGUGUUGUUACUUUUGGAUGACUUCCCUUAAUGGUGAUUCAGACAUAUCUAGCAUAAUAAUGUCAUAUUUCAGUUAGCUUUAUACGGUGGAUCAGGAGUUCAAAUCUCAGCUCUGAAGUAUUAGUAGAGCCAUCUGCCCUGCAUAGAUUGGAUACCCCCUCCUAGCAGAUUUUUUUCUUGCAUUUUAUGAGUCACCUUUUUUCCCCAUAUAUAUGGAAUCGCCGACAAGUAUGAUCACUGACCAGAAUUGUUGAAACAAGAAAGAAUAUGCCUAUUCACUUUGUCUUGAACGUCCAACCAAACUGAAAUCGUGGAGGCUGAGUGAACUGUGAAGGAUGCUUUAAAGAAUUUCAAGGUUACAAUGCUUACUUAAAGUGCCUUACUAGAUCCAAACUGGAUUUGUUUGACAUGAGAACUUAUUUCAACAUGAUGAUUGCACUUGUACAUUUAGUGUUUCAAUUGGAGCUCUCAAAUCUCUUUUCUUGUGCCAGGUUAUAGAUGUUAGUGGUAAAGAAUUCAAAUUCACCUGGGCAUCUGAACGAGGCGAAUUGUGUGACAUUUAUGAAGAACGUCGGAGUGGAGAGGAUGGAAAUGGGUUGCUUCUGGAGUGUGGCUCUGCUUGGCGCAAGGUGAAUGUGCAACGCAUUUUGGAUGAAUCAACAAAGAACCUUGUGAAAAUGCGCUCAAAGGAGGCUGAACGUCUCUCAAAAUCUCGAAAGUUUGUCUGCUUUCCCUGUUCUAUAAUCCUCUUGGUUUCUAUUGAUUUAUGAUAAUCCUGAUAUGCAGAAUCUCUAUUUUCAUGUUUUAUGAUAUUGUAGUUUUUUCCCAACCGCUUAUAUAUCCUCUUAACUUUUCCGGUUGUAGAUCAAUCGUGCUGGACCCUGCCAAUCCAUCUGUCAAGAGUCAGGCCAGGUCAAUGGCUGCAGCAGCUGUAGAAGGUCUUUUCAUCGCAGAGUUCAUGUCAUUUAGUGCUUUUCAUCGCAGAGUUCAUGUCGCACAAGACCUUGACAAAGCAUAUCUUUCAGUGUUUGUUUGGUUUCGCCUUCAUUACUCUUCUCUUACAUUAGUUGCUACUAUAAUCUUCUCUUACAUCAUCUGCAACUAGCACAUUUGGGUUUGUUAGAGUUGAUUUUGAGAUUUGUGUGUCAUCGUAAUGCAUGGGCAUUGUACGAUGCAAUACUUUUUAUUUGAACAAAUAUGUAUAAUACAACAAAAGAAUCCUAUAUGUAUAAUACAACAAAAGAAUCCUAAUAAAGUUUAACAAAGUCUUUUUUUUGUUUGAACUGAUUCUGUGUAGCAUCAGUAUGUCACCAUGUAUAUAUAAUUAUCUUUUAAUGAUAUGUUUAUUAAUCGAUCUAUUGUCGUACAUUAAUGAUGAUUUUUACUACUUGAUUCUUCCAAUUCAUGGGCUAUAGAUUUAUGUGUUUCAAACAAUCCUCUAUUUUGACAUUCCAUUCACUAAACAUAUUAUAUUCCUUUUUCCCCCAGGAGCGAGCCGCUUUGGCUGCUACCUCAUAUCCUCAUCGUUAUGUUGAGAAGAGAAAACCAAUUCUUGAUCCAUAGGUACCUACACUGACAACUAUAUGUUAGAUGCCAUAUGACGAUUUGUUUGACAAAUAGGUUGUUGUAUAAGUUAUUUAUGUGUGCUAAUUUGGCCUUAUUUAUGGGAAGAAAAGGGAGCCUAUAAAAUUUGAAGAUUAGCUCCUUGGCCACAUCUUGUACCAAAUUGUGCACCACCCAUUCUAGAUGCAACAAUACAAGGAAUGCUUUCUCCGUAUCUACUAGCUACGUGAUGAUAAACAUUUCAUGAAACUGUUGUUGCUUUAUGAGCAAAAAACAACUAUAAAUGCUUUCUAUGGAUCGACUCGCCUCGCUCUAGAAGGUUUGUUUUUUGGCUCUGCUUUGCAUUUUGCACACACAACUCGAUCGUCAUUUCCAUUGUUCCAUCACCUCAUUCGCUUCGAAGAGUGGUGGGAUUGUACUAUGUGACAUUUGUAGUGAGUUGUGGUUGUGAACUUAUGAUUUGUAUUCAACUCAUGUUAUCAGUGGAAUUCUGGUAUGAGUACUACUUGUGAAAAGUAAACUGAAUUCUGGUUGUGAACUACUUGUUUAAGUGAAUGUGUGUUUCUGUUUUUUGUUGUCAGUGCAUUUCUGUUUUCACUGAUGAAACCACCAUUUCUGUUUUCAAUGAAUCUGUUGAACUGAACUGCAAAAAUAGAAAUUGUUCUAUUUUGUUUGAGUGCACAAACAGAACUCAACGGAACUAGAUCUGAAUAUGUUUGAGUGCACAAACAGAAAUUGUUUUGUUCUGGUUUUAGUGAACUCCACAAAUAGAAUUGAAUCUAUUAUGUUUGAGUGUAGAAACAGAUACUGAAAUGCUACAUCUAGCACUUAAUCUGGCAGAAUCAGAAAAUUGGGGAAAUACAAGCUGUUUAAGAGCACAAACAAAAGCUGAAUCUGUUUGAUUGCAGAAACCGAUAAAAACAGAAAUAUAUGCUGAAAAUAAUUCAUAAGUAGGCAGUGGUGGUGCUAUGGUGCAUACCAGGUUCUUAUUCAAAUGAUUUGCUAAAGUCAAAUAUAUGCUUCCGGUCUGAUUGAUUUGUGAAACUGAAAUGGAUAUUUUAUUUCGGCACUAUGAAAUAAACUCACUGUGAUCCUGAAACAUAUCAAUUGUGUUUGUUUUUGUAAAUCUUUUAUACUACUAGGGGAGAAAAAUAGCUUAGUUCAAUCGCAUCUCAUAUGUCUAAUUACCAGGGGAGAAAAUUAGCUUAGUUCAUUUUGUUGCUGCCAUAUGGGUGAAAAAAUAAUGAGACAUCUAAAUCAGUAAAUUGGAAAUAUAGCAUCUUAAACCUGCAGGUAGUUUCUUAAACCUGAUUCUAGCUACAUGUUUUAUAUUGUGACACAAGAACUUUUAAGAACAUAUGUUGAUGCCCACUGUAUUUAGUUACUACUUCAAGACCAACUGUAUUUUAGUUACAAAUGUGUUUUCAAGAUUGUAGAAAUUUGUAGCUGAAAUUAUCCACACCAUAUUUGUGAACUGACAUCAUUUCUAAGAAUAUUACUGAUUAGAAUCUUUCACUUUUAUAAUGCUUUGCAGGAGUGGCCCCUCUGGAGUUGAAUAUGCAGUUAUAACCAAUUUUUACCCCUUUUAUCCUAGAAGAGUUGCCAAGACACGGUAUAAGACCAUGAUAAUAGACUAAGAGAGGAUUUGGCUCUAAUUACUAUAUGUUUUAUUUAUGCAGUCCCAUGAGAACUUUGAGUAUUUACAGAUUGCUUUAUUAAUUUAUUAAAGUUAAAGAUUGUAUGUGUUGAGUAUGUAUCCACUCUUGUUGGAAGUGUCUUGCAAUUCCAAUCCAAGGAUGUAUAAAAGACUUCAUGGGUUAAGUAUGUGUUUUUCAUGUAUUUGGAGUAUAUAUACUUUUUAUUGCUUGAGAACAUGUAUGUGCACUAGAAGCUUGUCAAUUGUGUGAACUUGAGUUGAUCCCUGUCUAACCUGAGUAUAUAUAUAUAUUUUGUUGCUUGAGAACAAGUAUGUACAAUAGAGGCCUGGCAAUUGUGUGAACUUGAGUUGAACAUGAAUUUUGAUAAUCACAACUCACCAUCCCUUUCAAUAUGCUUAGAAUAUAGCUUUUUAUAAUUUUUCACCCUACAAUACAAAAUUGUUCUAUGAAGGCCAUGGUACAUCAUCAUAUCCUAUAUUAUCAACCUAGGAUUUGUCUAUUUCGAUUAAUAAUGGCAUUGAGUCAAAUUUUGGUUGUUUCAAAUGAUAGACUUCGACAUUUGUUAUGAUUUAUGAGUUGAUUCUUGAUAGCAUUACUAAAAAAUGACCUGUGUAUACACAAGUGUUUUCCGUUGCAAUGCACGGGCAUAUACCUAGUAUAUAAUAUAUGCAUGUUAGUCAAUUGGUUCAGAUGCAGGCGAGCUCCUUUGCCAAGCCGAUGGACUUGCCGAUGGCGUUCUUGCAGACGGCCAUGGUCUUGUUGCCGGAUCCAUUGUACUUGAUGUCGACGUUGACGAGCUGCACGCCCUGGCAUGGCAGGUUGUUGGCGCAGUUGAGCGUGAUGGCCUCCGGCGUGUUGGAGGUGCCGUGGAUGUUCUUGAAGACGACGUCGUUGACGGCCACCUUGGAGGCGCCGGACUUGACGCAGAUGUUGUUGGGGCAGUACUUCUGGUCGAUGAUGAUGGGGUAGGAGACAUUGUCCAUGGUGAUGCCCUCGUACAGGAACUUGCUGGCCUUGAGCGACGACUUGGAGUCCUCGUACGACUUGAUGCGCAGGCCGUUCGUGGUGCCGGCGAUCGUGCACCCCGUCACCUGCACGUCUUCCACGUCCUUCUCGUCCUUGUAGCGCCCCAGGCUGCCGACGCUGAUGCCGUGGCCUGGGCCGCACUUGACGCCAUGGAUGCGGAUCAUCUUGCUCCCGGGGCCGAUGGAGAUGCAGUCGUCGCCGACGCCGAUGGUGGUGCUGCUGAUGGUCACGUUGCUGGAGUCGCCGAUGUGGAUGCCGUCCGUGUUGGGGCUGUCGCCGGGGGCCUUGACCGUCACUUUGUCGAUCAGCACGUUCUUGCACUCGAAGAUGUUGAGGUGGAAGAACUUGCUGUUGAGCAGCGUGAUGCCGCGGAUCUGGACGUUCGUCACAAAAUCCAGCACCAAGCUCUGUAUAUCCAUCGCAAUGGCAUUGCAUGCAUGCAAUUUCAAUCAAUUAUCAAUAUUAUCGAGAAGAGGAGACAGAGACAAAGAAAACAAGUGUCUAUACGUACAUUCGGGAGGAUCUUGCAAUUGUAAGAAUGCUGGCACUGGUUCUUGCUCCACACCAGGGCUCCCUGCCCGUCGAUGGUGCCGUGGCCGUUGAUGGACAGGUUCUCGACGUUCUCGAUCUCGAUCCAGUUCCUUUGGUACGCGCUGAGGUCGCCGGUGCCGAGCAGGUUGCCGUCGAGACGGAUGAUGAUGGAGGACUUGCAGGGGCCCUUCAGCUCCAGCCCGCCCGUCAGGUAGUUGCCCGGCGGGAUGACGAUCUUCUGUACCCCCGUCGCCUCGCACGCGUUCUUCCACGCCUUGAGGAUCAUCGGGGUGCUGUCCGACUUGCCGUCGCCCUUGGCGCCCAGCUGCGCGAUGUCCAGCGGACCCGCCGGAACCGACGGCGCCCCUCCCGCCACCGCCACCGCCGCCGCGCGCGCGGCAGGCGACACCACUGCGACCACAAGCAGCGCGGCCACGCCCGCCGCCUUCACUGCGACAUUGCUGAUGAACGCCAUCUUCGUGAUGGAGAGGAUGGCAGAUUGGUGCCGGUGUCGUGAUUGUGGUGGUGCGCUCGAACACACAUAUAUACUGCGAUGCCAAGAUGGGUGGAAUGCUAUGUUCGGUAUGGCCAAGCAUCGCGGCGAGACGUUGGUGUCCUCUGCUUUCUUUAGGGCUUCCAUCAGCUGGUUGCCCGUUGAACUCUCUCCGAUUCGAGCGUGCGGCACUGAACGAUUACCGGUCUGCUCUGCUGCUCUGUAUUACUCUGUAUUAUUGUUCCAGUACCGUGUAGCACGUGAAUGCCAACAAACCGUUCAACGUCCUGUCCUGCUCUCAAACAUGUGAAAGAAUUAGUUAAAAUUUAACAAUAUGAAUCCUACUGUAUACAAACAGAAUACAAACUAACUAAUUAUCUUGAUAGUCCUCGCACUAUCCCAAAAUAUAAAGCACAAUUUCAUUUGGUACGCUCUUGAGGAUCACAUUUUAACCGCUAAUUUUUUCUUAAUAUAUGCCAAUAAAAAUUAGUUAUGAGAAAUUGUUUCUAAAUAGAAGUGUAAUAUAAACAAGUUUAUAUUAUAAACUUUUCAUAUGAUUAAACUAUUUAUUAUCGAAUAUAGUAAAGUUUAGAGUUUUUACCUUAUUUUUAGAGAAAAGUGGAAUAUCAGAUACAAUAUCUCUACUAUAUAAAACAACAGUUUCAACAGUCAUCUCGUGUCACACUUCCGUUUAAUUAAAAAAAUAAGUAAAAUUGUACACAAAUAAGAGUUUGAACUUUGGUUAUUGGCUUCACAUUUACAUCCACCUAACCAAUAUAACAAAUCACAAAUAUUUGUAUUUUAUUAAAACAAAAUGUACUUAUAUAAUAUAU
rnacentral:lncRNA from 1 species